rnacentral:rRNA from 1 species
GCAAGUCGAGGGGCAGCAUGAGACGGAGAUUCGUCGAAGUCUUGAUGGCGACCGGCGCACGGGUGCGUAACAGGUGUGCAAUCUGUCCAUAAUCGGGGAAUAGCCCAGCGAAAGUUGGAUUAAUGCUCCAUGUGAGUAAGAGAGGCAUCUCUUUUAUUUGAAACGUAAGGAUUAUGGGUGAGCACGCUUCUGAUUAGGUAGUUGGUGAGGUAACGGCUCACCAAGCCGACGAUCAGUAGGGGUUCUGAGAGGAAGGUCCCCCACAUUGGAACUGAGACACGGUCCAGACUCCUACGGGAGGCAGCAGUGAGGAAUAUUGGUCAAUGGUCUGACGACUGAACCAGCCAUGCCGCGUGAAGGUCACGGCCCUAUGGGUCUUAAACUUCUUUUGCAAGGGAGCAAUAAGGUGUACGUGUACAUCGAUGAGAGUACCUUGCGAAUAAGCAUCGGCUAACUCCGUG